GGCGCGGCGGUGGCGACUCCGGCGGCAGCCUCGGCGGUCUGGGCGGGGCGGGAAGCCCGCUUUCAACCCCGCGUACCCUCUGACCCCGGAAGUGCUUGCUGCGCAGGACCCCUUGAAAAAAAUGAGGACCCGUCUUUUUUAGGUCACAAGAUUGCGCCAACUCGCACACGGUAGUUUUUAAAAAACCCUUUUAACAGCCUAGCAUUGAAAAUAACGCUCCAAUGGACAGAAACUGUGAGUCCGGCACCGUUUUAAAAGGACCAUGUAUUUUAUUAACCCUAGCGGCACCGGCAAAUGUCUGGAAAUGUUAGUGUUGUGAAUGGGAGCGACACAUUAUUCUCUCUCCCUACAGAAGGGGUUUGAGCGCGGAGCGACACGGACAGCCCCGGCUGUAACUGCAGGCGGCAGCCGGGACGCCGCGGAUUUAAAACACAAAUUCACUUAGGCCCAGAGAGAUGAAGUGAGUAAUUCAAGGUCACACAGUGUCGAGGAUGGAAUCCAGACCUUCCGAUUUCCUUAUUGACCUGCACUAUCUUAUGGAUACUGAGUGAAUUCCACACCACCCGUUUUACAGAUGAAGCCACUGAGAUAUGGAGCAACUGACUAAAAUAGUCACCGCCCUACCCCGGGAGUCUCACACAUGACUCUUCUCCUCCCACUCCAGUGACCGCAGGUUAGUUAAGGGGGUUAAUAAGGUUGGGAAGGUGAGUCAGGCUUAGACUUUGGCAAUUGAACG